rnacentral:rRNA from 1 species
GACGAACGCUGGCGGCGUGCUUAACACAUGCAAGUCGAACGGAAAGGCCCUGCUUUUGUGGGGUGCUCGAGUGGCGAACGGGUGAGUAACACGUGAGUAACCUGCCCUUGACUUUGGGAUAACUUCAGGAAACUGGGGCUAAUACCGGAUAGGAGCUCCUGCUGCAUGGUGGGGGUUGGAAAGUUUCGGCGGUUGGGGAUGGACUCGCGGCUUAUCAGCUUGUUGGUGGGGUAGUGGCUUACCAAGGCUUUGACGGGUAGCCGGCCUGAGAGGGUGACCGGGCAAAGUGGGGUGGAUAUACCGCCGGGAGCGCUACGGGAGGCAGCAGUGGGGGAUAGUGCACUAUGGGCGGAAGGCUGAUGAAGCACCUCCGCGUGCGGGAAGACGGCAUUCGGGUUGGAAACCGCAUGCGCAUGUGAAGAAGCGUGAGGGACGGCAAUGGAUAAAGAAGAAAAGGCUAACUUAGUG